rnacentral:sRNA from 1 species
UUGAACUCUGAUAAAAAUGAAAGUAAGCCAACAAAAAAAAUGGUUAAACUUUCCCCCUUUUAAACCGGACCAGAGUUUGUAAGGGUAAGGUAGGAAUGGCUCACAGACUGUGUUUUAACACAGCACUAAGUUAACCCAGGCAAGUUUGAGUUACUAUGUCACUGUAGGUUGACUAUCGACAAGCCUGGGCAGUAGCAGUUUUAAGAUUUCAGGAUCCUAUUGGUAGGAAUGUCGUCAGACUCCGGAGAAGUCCCUCCUUCUGGGACGCUUUCACUCUUCAAUAAACCUCUACUAGAAGCUUACGGCUGGAAGAUGCUUCCGUUUCCGGGAGUCAAAGACCAAGUCGCCCACUCGAAAAUUACGCAUCAGGGACGACGAUGUGCUGGUAGCGGCGUUUCCUAAAUGUGGAACUCACUGGCUAUGGGAGGUAACUCAAAUGCUGCUUCGGCAGACGACGGACUACGAGAAAAGAACCAAAGAACAAGUCAUGCUUGAAUCUCCUGGUGGGCUGGAA